UACAGAGGUGGCAAGCGUUGUUCGGAAUUACUGGGCGUAAAGGGCGCGUAGGCGGCCUUCUAAGUCGGACGUGAAAUCCCCAGGCUUAACUUGGGAACUGCGUCUGAUACUGGAAGGCUUGAGUGCGGGAGAGGGAUGUGGAAUUCCAGGUGUAGCGGUGAAAUGCGUAGAUAUCUGGAGGAACACCGGUGGCGAAGGCGGCAUCCUGGACCAGCACUGACACUGAGGCACGAAAGCGUGGGGAGCAAACAGG
rnacentral:rRNA from 1 species